UGGUUGGUAGAGUCUGCAAGACGAAUGGCUUUUUAUGUUGCAUAGUGAUCAAAACUUCCCAGAUACUCCAGAGCUGCCUGGUAACAGAACUGAUAUUCAUCCUAGAUGUGGUCAAGAGGAGACAAUCAACAGGAGAAGGAGGAGAGAGUGACCCACAAAGACCUAGUGGAGGGGAAUGGAGGAAUACACAGCCCCCCCGGUGUGUCCAAGGAGCUGGGCUUACAGAAAUGACAAAAUACUAGGUCACAUGCUCUGUUAGGGAAUUUGCGCUGAGGCACAGAUGGCCACGCUUUUCUACUCCCUGUUGAAGGAUGUUUUUACAUGCUCAUUUGCCUACCUGCAGUGGACAGAAAUUGGCCCAUCCUGACCGAACUGUUCCUUUGUCUUAUGCACCUGUCCAAUGAAAUCGAUAAAACCCUCUCCUGAUUUUGGCACACCUUGUUCGGGCCAGUCAGUGAACUGGAACUGACGAACGGUUCGGGACUGACCA